rnacentral:misc_RNA from 1 species
UCGAACGAAAAGGAGAAGGGGGGGAGAGGGUGGAGAAGAGGGUGGUAGACUGUCGCUGGCUAGAUUCAUAUUCAUACUCGUCUCUGGCAUGUGCACGUCAUCGCUUUCUUCGUCGACCUUUCCUUUCUCUUUCUUUCUUUCUUUCACACCUGUGCACCCAUUGUAGGUCCUCGAGAGGGGAUCUACGUUCUUCAUCACGCCCAUCGUCGUAUGUCCACAGAACGUCACAAAUAAACAUAAAAUA